AAAACUUUUGGAUUUGAUUAGACAAACCAAGUUCAAUUUUAGUAACUAUUUUUCUGACAAGGACCCUGAACAGGAACAGGUGGAGCAAAACGGGGCUCAGGGAGGUGAGCAGGCACUCGACACUUCAGAGGAUGCCUGUUAUGGAGUUGCGUGACGGUCAGAUAAAUUGUGAAAUAAGGCCUACAGAGGAAGAAUUGGGACAAGAGGUACGAAAGGAGUUUCAGAUGCAAGAUUUAAUAGAGGAGGCGGUAAAUAAAGCAUUUCAGCGAAUGUCAACAAUUGAUAGCAUGGGCACAGAACAUGAAGGGCACAGUCUAGGGGCAGCUGACAGUCUAAGAGGGAGAGAUGAGCAGAGGAAGCCACAUACGGAUAGCAAUGAGGAAGAUAUGAUACAAAUGGAAAGGAAAGCUUAAAAUAUAAGAGGUUGAUAUAUUUACAAUUUACGAUGUCUUGAAAUGAACAUUUUAAAGGUAAGAAGAUCAAUUAGUACAUUUUCAGUGCUGUAAACCCCCGCCCAACAUUGAGCUCCAGAAGGUGGAUCACACAGAGCAGCCGUUCACUUAGAGGCAGGAGAGAGAAGAAAAAGAAGACACAGAGAGACUGAGUGCGCACAGGGCCGGUCACAGCAGAGGCAGGGCCCAGGAGUCUAGAAGCAGUUUUUACCUUAAAGACAUCUACCAAUUACUACACUAGAAUGGUAUUGUAAUCUGCAUUUAGAGUGACUGAUUCAGGAGCUUAUAUUUGAAAAUGUUAGACCACACAAGCUAGGUUUGUCAAACUGUAGCAAAGUGAAUAUAAAUUAGACACUGAUCACUGAGGAUACUCUAAGGUGGAUUAAAUGGAUCUUUACUCAGUCAACUGUUCAGAAUAGAGUGGGUUACAUCAAAUAGAUAAAUUAGGACGGUUGAGUUCAGUGGAUAAAAGAGAGGCAGACAGCAGUAGAUGAAAUGGAGGGUGAGUUGGAUAGAGAAGGGGAGAAAUGGGCAAAGAAGAUCGAUGUGCGGGUUCAGUAAGAAUUAGAGAAAGGAAGUCAAUGCAGCAAUACUAGGGAGGCCGGGAUCCCACUAUUUGUUUAGUUAUGGAGGUAGUUUUUGAGAAAUUUCCAGCAGCAGUGAUAGAUAUUUUGAUUGAGGGCAGCAACUGUACUUUUAUGGUUAAUACGGGGGCCAGAUACAGCCCCAUGAAUCUUUAUGUGCCCACCUG